rnacentral:rRNA from 1 species
CCCAGUUCGGAUUGCAGGCUGCAACCCGCCUGCAUGAAGUUGGAAUCGCUAGUAAUCGCGGAUCAGCAUGCCGCGGUGAAUACGUUCCCGGGCCUUGUACACACCGCCCGUCACACCAUGAGAGUCGGGAACACCCGAAGUCCGUAGCCUGACCGCGAAGGGGGCGCGGCCGAAGGUGGGUUCGAUAAUUGGGGUGAAGUCGUAACAAGGUAAC